rnacentral:lncRNA from 1 species
GGAUUAUUGACGCGCAGCACCACGCCCGGCUAAUUUUUGUGGUUUUUGUAUCUUCUGUCUUCUGCUCUUUAGUACCGCAUAGAGCCACAGAAGACUAUGCCUACCACUGGGAGGCCCGGCGCCGGCAGAUGGCUUUGGACCGAAGGAGAUGGCUGAUGGCCCAGCAGCAGCAGGAGCUGCAGCAGAAAGAACAGGAACUGAAGAAUCACCAGGAGGAAGAACAACAAUCGGAGGAAAAACUCCAGCCACAUAAGAAGUUAAAUGUGCCGCAACCACCAGUGGCGAAAUUGUGGACAUCACAGGAGCAACCACAGCCAUCACAGCAGCAGCCAUCAGUGCAGCCACCAUCACAGCCACCACCACAGCCAUCAACAUUGCCACAGGCACAGGU